UUACCCUUCCCUAGGACAUGACUUGGGCACGUCUUGAGGGUAGGAACCCUUCUAACAAUGAACUUGUUGAAUUGAAAGUUACCAGUACCCUCUAGACGCGGACAUGUUAUAUCAGUCAAUCUGCUCCAAAAUCGAGGUGGGAGCUAUCCAGGCGAGUUGGCGUAGGUACAUCAUGAUGGUAGGAACCCUUCUGACGAAGAACUUGAGAAUUUGCACAUUAUCACGUGCCCUGUUGAUGUGAGCAUGUCAUGUCAAGAGAACGUUUACUAAUCAUCAACAGUAGAAAAUUAAACAAAAAAAUUGUGAAAAUUUUAAGAGAAACAUAUUGAAACAGAUAAUAUAAUUUAACAAACAACUAAAAUGAAUUGGGUUGCCUCCCAAGAAGUGUUUUUCUUUAAUAUCUUUGACUAGACAUUGUCAAUCGUGCUUAAUGCUCAUGAGAUGGAUUUUCAAGGUGCAUCAUCUCUACCUUUUCUACUAAAAAUCUUUCAUAAUAAAGUUUGAGAAGGUGUCUAUUGACAACAAAUUUUUUCUCGAUCUUUAAAUUUUGUAUUUCUUUUGCACCAUAAUAGAAGAUAUUAGUAACAAGAAAAGAACCAAUCCAAUGAGAACGUAAUUUACUUGGAAAUAACUUAAAUCUCAAUUGGUAGAGAAGAACUUUCUGGCCAACGACAAAGAUUUUUUUAGAAAUUUGCUAAUCAUGAAAAACUUUAUUUUCUCCUUAUAGAUUUUCGCGUUCUCAUAGGUAUCGUUUCGAAUUUCUUCUAACUCUUGUAAUUCCAAAUUCCAAUGAACUCCAACCUCUGCUAAAUCCAUAUUGCACAGCUUUAUUGCCCAAAACGUUCUGUGUUCGAACUCCACUGGCUGGUGGCAUGGUUUUUCAAAUACCAAUUGAUAAGAAGACAUCUUUAUAGGUGUCUUGUAUGUUAUCCGAUAGGUCCAAGGCGUGUUCUCCAACCUUUGACUACAAUCCUUUGUAUCGGGGCACACCAUUUUCUCCAAGAUAGAUUUUAUUUCCCUAUUUGAGACCUCUGCCUAGCCAUUAGUCUGUGAAUAAUACGAUGCCGAGAUUUUAUGAAUGACACCAUACUUUCAGAAUAAUGCAGCUAUCGUUUUGUUACAGAAGUGUAUUUCACUGUCGCUAACAAUGGCUCUUGACAUUCCAAAACGUACAAAAAUAUUGGACUUGAUAAAAUUUGAUACCACUCUCAAAUAGUUAGUAUGGGUGACUUUAGCUUCUAUUCAUUUGGAAACAUAAUCAACAAUCAAUAUUAUAUAGAGAAAACCAAAUGACGUGGGAAAAGGACCUAUAAAGUCGAUCCCCCAACUAUAAAAAAUUUCAACAAAAAACAUGAAAGUUUGAGACAUUUGAUCUCUAUGGAAAAUGUUAUCUAUUUUUUGACAUUUGUUACAAGACUUAUGUAGGCAUCUUUAAACAGUGAAACUCAGUAGAACCCGCUCUCUAACACCUUACGAGUCAUUCUCUUUGGUUUAAAGUGAUCUCCACAAGGGAAAGAGUGACAAAAAAUUAGAAUCAAAUAGUAUUCAUUUUUACUUACACACCUUCGCAUUAUUUGAUCCGUACAAUACUUCCACAGUUACGGAUCGUCUCAUAUGAAGUAUUUGAUGUCAUUUCUUAGUUUGUCCCUCUUCGGUUUAGGCCAACUUGCAGAAAAUUUGUCAGUUAUUAGGUAAUUGACUAAAUCAACAUACCAAGACAAUUUAGAAUUUAGAAAAAAUAAUUGUUUAUCGGGGAAAGUAUCUCUCAAUGAAACAUUCUCCUCUUCAACUGGUAUGCGGAUCAGAUGAUCAGCUACUAAAUUUUUCGAUCAUCUUUUAUCCUUGAUCUCUGAGUCGAACUCUUGUAGAAACAAUAUCCAUCUCAUUAGUCUUGGCUUCGCGUCUUUUUCUUCAACAAAUAUCUCAGAAUUGCAUGAUCAGAAUAUACAACGACUGUAACUCCUAGUACAUACGACAUAAAUUUCUCUAAAGCAAAGACAACUGCUAAAAAUUCUUUCUCUAUGGUGGAGUAAUUCAGUUGAGAUCCAUUCAAAGUCCCUGAUGCAUAGUAAAUGGUGUGGGUUGUUUUUCCUAUUCUCUGCCUCAACACUGCUCCCAUUGCAUGGUCACUAGCAUCACAUAUGAUCUCAACUAGGAGACUCCAAUCCGGAGGUUGAAGAAUUGGGGUUGAAAUCAAGAGUUCUUUCAAUUUGUUGAAUGCCUCCUUGCAAUCUUCAUUGAACUCAAAUAUCACAUUCUUUUGCAAUAGCCUGAAUAGAGAUGCUCUAUUGAGAAAUAUUUGAUGAAUUUGUGAUAGAAGCCUACAUGUCUAAAAAAAAGAACACACUUCCCACAUGCUUGCAGGGUAAAGUAAAGCAGAAACAAUAUCUAUCUUAACUUUAUCAACUUCUAUGCCCCUGGAUGACACUACAUAUCCUAAAACUAUUCCUUGUUCAAUUAUAAAAUAACUUUUUUCAGUUGAGCACUAGGUUAGUUUUUAUACACUCUCUUAAAAUUAGUUUCAAAUUGUCAAGACAACUACCGAAACUAUCACGAUACAUGUUAAAGUAAUCCAUAAAUACCUCUAUAAUUCUCUCUACAUAUUCAGAGAAGAUACUUACCAUGCAUCUCUAGAAAGUCGCAGGGGUAUUACAUAACCCGAAAGGCAUUUGUUUGUAUGCAAAGGUUCUUAAUGAGUACAUAAAGGUGAUUUUCUCCUGGUCCUCUGGUGCAAUUGCGAUAUGAAAGUAACCUUAGAAAUCAUCUAAAAAAUAAUAGUAAAUUCGACAUACUAACUGUUCAAUUAUUUGAUUAAUAAAAAGGAGAGAGAAGUGAUCUUUUUUUGUGACGGUAUUGAACUUGCGAUAGUCUAUACACUGCCGUUAUCCGGUGAGUUUUCGGACUGGAACUAACUCGCCCUCUUGAUUAGCUUCUACUGUCACCCCAGCUUUUGUCAGAACUUCCUGUAUUAGACUUACCCAUGGACUAUCUAAUAUAGCAUAAAUAAUCCUUACAUCCAGCAAUUUAAUAUUUCUUUCUUUACUAUCUCCAUCAUAAGCGGGUUCAACCUUCUUUGAUCUGGUAAGGAUUUCAACUCUACAAUCGGUGCCUGCACAAUAGAGGAUAAUAAUUUCUGGUGAGACUCUGGCAUGAAAAUGGGUGCAAGUUCAUACCUUAUUGUUGUAGUUGCUAGAAAGUGUAGUGCCCCGACCAUAUUCUGCAAUUCACCACUUAAUUUCACACCAAGAGUUAUUUCUAAUCCAAGGUGCUUGGUUAUUACUACCUCUAGCUUAUCUCUGCUAUUAAUUUUAAAAAUUUCCUGUACCACAGGAUCAAUGAUACUCAUAACAAAAACAGAAUUAGAAUUAGAAGUAAAGGGAUAUUUCAUGAUCUUAAAUAUGUUAAAAUGAACAAUUUCUCCAUCGAACUCCAUAGAUAGAAUGCCCUUGUUAAUAUCAAUUUUGAUUUGAGUUGUGCUUAAAAAUGGUCUAUCUAAUAACAAAGGUGAUGGAUUUGGGGAAUGAUCAUCAUCCAUAUUUAGGAGAUAAAAGCCAGUUGGGCAAACCAAUUCAUUAAUAUUAACUAAAACAUCCUUAAUCAGUCCAUCAGGGUAUGCAUUUGUUCGGUCCAUCAAUUGAAUUAUAAUACCGAUUUCUUUCAAUGGUCCUAGAUUUAAAGAAACAUAUAUGAAUUUUGGUAUAACAUUAAUUGAUACUCCUAAAUCUAACAUGACAUUUCUAAUAAAAGUGCUUCCUAUCCUACAUGGGAUAAUAAACAUAUCUGGGUCUCCGCAUUUGGGUGGGAGUUUCCUUUGAAGUACUGUUAACAUGUUCUCCCCCACAAUAACUCUUUCAUCUCAUUUUAGUCUCUUUCUAUUGACGCACAAGUCCUUCAAGAAUUUUGUAUAUUUUGGUACUUGUUUGAUUGCAUCCAACAAGGGGAUAAUUAUUUCUACCUUAUGAAAUAUUUCUAAAAUCUCCUUCUCCUUAUCUUGUUUUUUUGGCUUCUCCAACCUGUUAGGAAAAGAUGGUGAAGUAGAUCGAACUUUAAUCAUUGAAUUAGGAAUUAGCUCUGGAGUUGCGCUUCUCAUUCCUUCCUCCUCAAGCUCCUUCUCAUUCCGAUCUUCACUUUUAUCUUUCGGAGACACGAGUUCAGAUCCCUCCACUUCUCUUCCACUCCUCAAAGUUAUGACGCUUACAUUCUUUGGAUUUAUUUCGGGUUGAGAUGGUAAUUUUCCUUGAUCUUAGGAUUCCAAACGAUUAAUCGAUAUCGCCAUCUAACAAUUUGAUUUCGUAUCUCCUGUAUGUUAGAGUCCGUCUUUUACUGAUGCUGAAUAAUGCUUGCAGCUAAUUGUUUCAUCAGCUCUUCCAAAGAAGGACCCGAAUCGGAAGAGAAAGAUUGCGGUCGGGAUUGAUACUGUUGCUGGUACCCUUACUAUCUAUUCGGUAUAAAAUUUUGCUGUCUAUUUCCUCCAUAGUUAAGGUUAGGAUGAUCCUUCGAACCUGAAUUGUAUAUGUUAGAAUAUGGAUCAUACUGCUUUCUUGGCGCGGGUGCGUGACCAGCCAGAUUUACCUGCUCAACACUCUCCUCUUGAAGCGUUAGACACAUGUCCGUGGUGUGUCCUCCACUGGUAUAAAUUUCACAUGCCCUGGCCUAUGGUGUGCGUCCUACAACCAAUUGCAUAACAAAAGAUGUCAAUUCAAACAAUUGCUGCAACAUAGAUGAAGUCUCCACCUUAUUCACUUUACUCGUCGGGAUAUCUUCGUGUGUAUUAAACUGUUGUGAGUUCUCGGUCAUACCCUUAAUCAAUUCACAUGCUUCUCUGGGGUUUUGUUGACUAAUUCCCCUCCACUUGAAGUAUCAAUAAUGCUCCUAUCUUGGGAAAGUAAACCCUCGUAGAAGUAUUGAUUUAGCAACUGCUCACUUAUUUGGUGCUGAGAGUAUUUGAUGCACAACUUCUUGAAUCACUCCCAAUAGUCAUAAAGAGACUUUUAAGGGUGCUGUUUAAUGCCACAUAUCUCUUUUCUCAGACUGGCAGCUCUAGAUGCAGGAAAAUUUUUUCAAAAAUUUCUUCUUUUCAAAAAUUUCUUCUUCAACUACUUCCAAGUUAUGAUACUACCCAGUGGUAGAUAAAAAUCAAUUCUUGGCAGAAUCCUUGAGAGAGAAAGGGAAUGCUCUCAUCUUUAUCUAUUUUUCAUUAAUCCCUGGAAGUUUUAUACUUGUGUACACUACAUCAAACUCUUGCAAGUGCUUGUGAGACUCCUCACCUGGAAGACCAUGAAAAGAGAGUAAAAGAUGAAUUAAACCAAAUUUUAACUCAAAAGGUGUAUUAUCAUUUAAAUUUGGGAAAGUAAUGCAUAAUGGGAUUUAGAUCAGGGGCAUCCAACUCCUUUAAUGUUAGUACAUUUGCCAUGGCUGCAUCUUCUUGAUUGAAAUCACCGAAAGAGUUUGUUGGUUCAACUUUUGGAUUGUGCCUCUAAGAUGCAGCGACUUACUGUUCCUUUCUUUGUUGUCUGGUUUCCUUCCUUAUUCUACGCACAAUCUUCUCUAUUUCAAGAUCGAAAAUUAAUUCGUCUGUACGAGAAGAGCAAGGCAUAAAUAAAAAAAAGCCAGAAAAUUAAAAAUAAAAUGAAUUCAAAAAUAGACUAAUUAAAUAACGCUAGUCCUCGGCAACGGCGUAAAAAAUUAAUAGGUUAUUUAGUCUGUACAAUAAUAAAUACCUGUUCAAAUACAAUACAAAUUCUGUAUCUAGUAGUAAGUAGGGUCUAAUUCACAAGGAUUGGAAGAACUUAGUUUCUUUUAGAGUUCAAGAUAUGGGAAAUUUUAUAAAAAUGACAAUAAACUGUACUACUUGAAUAUAGUAAAUAAUCAAAAGUUAAAUAGCAAAUUGUUAAUACUCAAAUAAUAGUGGACAAACUCAAGCCAAGAAAUAACUUCAAAAAUGGUUGUCCUAAUUUAUCAUUGAUACAAGAAUAAUUCCACUUAUAAAUUGAUAAACAAGUUAUAACUACGAAAAAAGCAAUGACAGUCAAUUUCUUCUUAAAUUAUCGAUAGCCAAGGUUCGACCGUUAGCUAUUACCCUAAUUGCGAAAUAAUUUUAGGUACGACCUUAGAGUUCAAUUUUUCAAUUAUUUUAAGAAUUAGAUAAAUCCUGUUCUAACCAAACAACACGCUACGAAGGUUGCUUCAAAUUAGCUCGUAUGUUUCUCAGACACAAAUCCAAUCAUACCAGUUACCACUAAUUUCGAAUAACUAAAUAAUUACGAAUUUAAUUACUCUAAUUGGUUUCAAAUUAUCGAAUUAGUCUAAAAUUCGGACCUAAGAUAAUUGAAUAAUACAAUAACUAUAAGAACAUAAAGUAGGAAAUAUACAAAUACUAGAAACUAAUAGGAAAAAGUAAAAUAAGUUCGAUCUCACAAUUUAAGUUGAACCAAAUCCUCUGUUGUUCCUUGACUAGAAAAAGAGAUUUAGUUCAUCUCUGCUGAAAUAACCUGAUGUGAAAUUAUAAAAUUAAUCUGAGGCAUCCUUCAAUGGAUCAAGAGAGUAGUAUGCGAUGGAAGAAAGAAAAGCAAAAGCAAGUCUGUCUCCUCCUUGUUGUGGCCGACCUUUCCUAAGAAAACAAAAGAUAAGUCAAGAGACCUAGUCUCAAUUGACUUCUUCCUAUGACUAAUCAGCCACAACCAAAAAGAAAGGAAAUCUACUAAUUGGUAACUUUUCUAUUCUUGAUAAACUACUAUUGUCAAUUGAAAUCAAACAAUUAACUGAUGAAAUAUUUGCGGCCCCACAUUGCACUUCCAAUUGUCAGCUGGAUAUGACACAUCAUUCCCGAGUUUCCUGGACACGCUAAGUCUUGAGUAUAACGCGACCGCACCAAAUAGCAAAUAUAGUAAGGAAUUUGCACCUUUUUACCACUCUUUGUUCCAACUCCCCGCGAUUAGCACAAAUUCUCAAAAGUGAAUAGAAUUUGCCAAUUAACGCACAUUGGUAAGAUAAUAAGAGGGAAAGAAUUGUAAAAUUAAUGACAAAAUUGCGUCCUAUCACCGGCCAACCAUAAUCAUAUUGUUGAUUUGAUGGGUGUACCCAAGAUAGAUUGCUUUCUAUUCUUAUCUCUUACCAUUCCGGCACCUAUUUUUAUAGAUUGCUUUCGUUUUUUUAUAUCUUACCAUCUUAGCACUUAUUUUUAUCUCUUAUUUUUUAUAGAUUGCUUUCUAUUCUAUCCGUCCAUUGGUUUGUAUCUCUUUUAUCUUUUCCAAAUGUCCAAAUACACUCGAGUUUAUAUUAUGAAAUAUUACCUGCAAUAGAAUACUUAAUGCUUAAAGCAUUCCUAGAUAUACCUGAGUUGAUAGCACCUAUCUGUUCAUUAGUUUGUAUCUCCUUUUCUUUACCAAACGUCCAAAUAUACCUGAGUUGAUAGCAUCUAUCGAUCCAUUAGUUUGUAUCUCUUUAUCUUUACCAAAUGUCCACAUCUUAUUAACAACCAUAUGGUUUGUUAUUAGUAAGCAAUUUUAUCCAUGGAGAUGCAAGUAGCAAAACCCAUUGUCUCACAUGUAGAAAAAUGUGUCACUAUUGUCUUGUCAUCCAACAAUUUCUUCAUUGCAAAUGCAAGACUUAAUGUCACAGUCAAGGUAAACCUUCUUGAACUCCAACAACAAUAACAGUUAAUGUUAUUUCACAAUAAUUUAAAAGUGUAAGGGCAUCACUGGAAUUUCAUUUCGUGAAUUCAUAUGAAUAGCUUUUUCCACUAGAAAUCUGGCUAGCAGCACUGUAAUAGUUAAUAAAUAGAAUAUAUCAUUCCUAUUUUGCCAAUUUCACUUGUAUUGGGGUCUUAUCUCUUCCAUUUUCACUUAGAGUCUCUGUCAACUUGUCUCAUUGAAUUCUUGUACGUUGGUUCCUACUAGAAUAAAAGACAUUGUUGGUUUUAAAGCAUAAACUACUAAAUAACACUUAGUAUUGCCAAAUAAAAAAGCCCACAAAAACCUUGUAUUAUGGGCUGAAAAUAAACUUAGGUUAUUCAUGUAUCAAUUCAUUAUUUACAGUGUUUACUAGCAAUAUAAGUUUUAACUAGCAAAUUUUCAUAAAAAAAUCUCAACAAAACUACUUGCUAACAAAUUAACAUAAUCUUCUACUUAACAAAUCUUUAAAAAAAUAUUUGUUUACAGCUGAAAAUGAUAUUAUAUUAAUAAAUAUCCCAACAACUACAUUUAUUCAAUAAUUAACUAAAUUAUUCUAGUACUAAAUGAAUCUAGAAAAAUCUAUACAAGUUGGCAUAUCUCAACACUCCUUGCCACUUUUGUUGUAGAUCCUCAAAUGUCUUCUUAAGUAUUCAAACCUUAUUUUAGACAAUGUCUUCGUAAAAAUGUCUACAAGCUAGUCAUUUGUUAUGCAAUAAACAACGUCUUUCAGUUUAUUAAACCAAACUUCAAAAUUAGCAAUAAAUUCCUUGACAUAACCAAAUGACUGCUUUGAAAUUUAAAAGUGAAACUCCUAUACAUAGUAGACAAACCUGAAUAAGAAGUUUAUAACACACAAGAUGAUUGUUAUGAGAGACAUAAAACAAUCAUGAUAAUUUUUGUAUGGCUUUUUGAUCGACAAAUUCCUACAAGUGCAUAGAGUCGAUUGUAGUAAUAAAAUCAUCUAGAGUCUUUCAGGGGUUAAAUCUACAGGAGUGAGUUAAUUUUCUACUUUAAUUAUUCUAGCAAAUAUCUAAAGUUAAAUUCAAAGGAUUUAAAUCACCAAUUAAGGAGAAAAAUAUGUAAUCAUGUUAAAUAAAAUAAUUGCUGAGAAAAUUAUUGGUAAGACACUAUGAUUUCAAAUUUUGAUCUAGAAUUUGAAUUAGUUAUCCAACUAAUUUAUUAAAUCCUAAGAAUAUAUCACACAAAUGUAUUUUAGAUUAUUUCUCGAUACAUUUAAAUUGUGUUUAACUAAAUCUCACGUCUCUCUCAAGAUCAUAAAUAUUUAAUCAAAUCCUUUAAGAUCUUAGGUGAUUUGACUACGUCAUGCAAACACUUACCUACUCUCAUAAUUAGGCUAAGUAUGUUUAUCUAGAGGAUGAUUGUGUAUCCCUUUUUAGUUCAAUACAAACUCUAAAAGCAUGUCUAUGGUAGCCAAACACAAACAUAUAAUUAAAUUAAGGCAAAAAUAAAGAAUUAAACUUAGAUAAAUAAUCAAAACUCAUUCACAAAAUCCUAACCCUAGAAUGGAAUUAGUUUAACAUAUUCAUUGUAAAAACCAAGAAUUGAACGAGUAAAAUACAUGUAUGAAGGUAAAAGUAAAGAAAACUUCUCCAUUUUCCCUGCCCCAAUCUCCGUCUUGAACUCUCUUUGAUUCCAUGCUUUGAUCCCAUUCUUGAUCUCCCGAGAAUGAGUUGUAUGUGAUGAACUAAUGCUAGUAUAAUAUGUUUCCCACCCUCAAAAUGACCUAGAAUAUCUCUAUUUAUAGUUUCUUAAAGGUGUAUCCCAAAUAUAGUAGGAUUAGGCUUAUUGGAGUUGAAAAAUCAUUUCAUGUCACUUUCUGAUGAAGACCAGCCCAAUGACUGGUCCAAUGUCUAGCACCAGUUGUCAAAAAUUGAUUGAGAUCAGAGAAACUCUAGUGUGAAAAUCAAAUGCACAACCAGUAUUAGUCAUCAGGGAUCUAUGCACUGAUUACCUAGGAUCUGCAUCCGUACACGAAUCCUUUUUGACCAAUGGCCCUUGUUCCUUUUUUCGUACCUUCUUCCUGUGCUGCUUCUUUG
rnacentral:lncRNA from 1 species